rnacentral:rRNA from 1 species
AUACGGAGGGUGCGAGCGUUGUCCGGAAUCACUGGGCGUAAAGGGCGCGUAGGCGGCGCGGUAAGCGGGCGGUGAAAGCCCGGGGCUCAACCCCGGGUCGGCCGUGCGGACUGCCGCGCUGGAGCACUGUAGAGGCGGGUGGAAUUCCGGGUGUAGCGGUGGAAUGCGUAGAGAUCCGGAAGAACACCGGUGGCGAAGGCGGCCCGCUGGGCAGUGGCUGACGCUGAGGCGCGACAGCGUGGGGAGCAAACAGGA